UUCUGGGACCCUGCCGGUAAGAGGUCACUGUGGAGGAGAGAGAAUGUGUGCAGCCUCAGAGGGCCAGAGCCACCUGCCAAUUAGGUUUGAUGGUCUUCAGCUGUCCAUGUACGGCACACGGUGACAGCAGCAGCCUC